AGAGUUUGAUCAUGGCUCAGGAUGAACGCUGGCGGCGCGCUUAACACAUGCAAGUCGAACGCUGAAGCUCCCAGCUUGCUGGGGGUGGAUGAGUGGCGAACGGGUGAGUAUCACGUGAGUAACCUGCCCUUGACUCUGGGAUAAGCCCGGGAAACUGGGUCUAAUACUGGAUAGGACUGGCCAUCGCAUGGUGGUUGGUUGAAAGCUUUUGCGGUUUUGGAUGGACUCGCGGCCUAUCAGCUUGUUGGUGGGGUAAUGGCCUACCAAGGCUUUGACGGGUAGCCGGCCUGAGAGGGUGACCGGCCACACUGGGACUGAGACACGGCCCAGACUCCUACGGGAGGCAGCAGUGGGGGAUAUUGCACAAUGGGCGCAAGCCUGAUGCAGCGACGCCGCGUGAGGGAUGACGGCCUUCGGGUUGUAAACCUCUUUCAGUUGGGAAGAAGCCUUUCGGGGUGACGGUACCUUCAGAAGAAGCACCGGCUAACUACGUGCCAGCAGCCGCGGUAAUACGUAGGGUGCGAGCGUUAUCCGGAAUUAUUGGGCGUAAAGAGCUCGUAGGCGGUUUGUCACGUCUGCUGUGAAAGCUCGGGGCUUAACUCCGAGUGUGCAGUGGGUACGGGCAGGCUGGAGUGCAGUAGGGGAGACUGGAAUCCUGGUGUAGCGGUGAAUGCGCAGAUUCAGGAGGAACACCGAUGGCGAAGCAGGUCUCU
rnacentral:rRNA from 1 species